UUUUUUUUUUUUUUUUCUGAGGGAAAUCGCCGAGAGCGAAAAUUUAUUUCAAUAAAAUAAGGCGAUACAGAAUUCAAAAGGUCCUACAAAGAAGACCACACAAUACAUUUUUUGCUAGACAGAUUCCAAUUGGCUAGUUGAUCAGUUUGCAUAGCAUUUCUAGAGAAGCCAGAAUUUUUUCAUUUAAAAGAGAAGGCGUGACAUUCAUCGACGAAGAAGUGAAGCAUUUUGGGCGUCUCUCUAGCGUCCGAAGUGAACGACUCGGAUAGAUCAGAUCUGAAGUGGAUCCCUUUAAUAAUCAAUGCUGAGUCCGAAAAUAUCUGAAUUCGUUUUUCUGGAAAGAUAUUCAAAAGAAAUUUGGCUACUUUCGAUACGAUUUUAAUUUCAGUUGACGGCGCAUCAUGAAUAUUUUCAGAAAAAAAAAAUAUUAAGGGAGUCAAAUUUACUAUUCAGAACAAAAAAAAAGAAUUAAUU
rnacentral:lncRNA from 1 species